rnacentral:rRNA from 1 species
UUCCCUAGUAGCGGCGAGCGAGCGGGAAGAGCUCAAAUUUAUAAUCUGGCACCUUCGGUGUCCGAGUUGUAAUCUCUAGAAGUGUUUUCCGCGUUGGACCGCACACAAGUCUGUUGGAAUACAGCGGCAUAGUGGUGAAACCCCCGUAUAUGGUGCGGACGCCCAGCGCUUUGUGAUACACUUUCAAUGAGUCGAGUUGUUUGGGAAUGCAGCUCAAAUUGGGUGGUAAAUUCCAUCUAAAGCUAAAUAUUGGCGAGAGACCGAUAGCGAACAAGUACCGUGAGGGAAAGAUGAAAAGCACUUUGGAAAGAGAGUUAACAGUACGUGAAAUUGUUGGAAGGGAAACGCUUGAAGUCAGACUUGCUUGCCGGAGCUUGCUUCGGUUUGCAGGCCAGCAUCAGUUUUCCGGGGUGGAUAAUGACGGUUUGAAGGUAGCAGUCUCGGCUGUGUUAUAGCUUUCCGUUGGAUACAUCCUGGGGGACUGAGGAACGCAGCGUGCUUUUUGCGAAAGACUCGUCUUUUUCACGCUUAGGAUGCUGGUGGAAUGGCUUUAAACGACCCGUCUUGACCACGGGACCA